rnacentral:rRNA from 1 species
CAGCCGCCGCGGGAAUACGGAGGGAGCUAGCGUUGUUCGGAAUUACUGGGCGUAAAGCGCGCGUAGGCGGUUACUCAAGUCAGAGGUGAAAGCCCGGGGCUCAACCCCGGAACUGCCUUUGAAACUAGGUGACUAGAAUCUUGGAGAGGUCAGUGGAAUUCCGAGUGUAGAGGUGAAAUUCGUAGAUAUUCGGAAGAACACCAGUGGCGAAGGCGACUGACCGGACAAGUAUUGACGCUGAGGUGCGAAAGCGUGGGGAGCAAACAGGAUUUGAGACCCCUGUAGUCCCUGUCUCUUAUAC